rnacentral:tRNA from 1 species
GCGCUCGUAGCUCAGGGGAUAGAGCGGUGCCCUGCUGAGGCAAAGGCCGGAGGUUCGAAUCCUCCCGGGCGCACCA